rnacentral:rRNA from 1 species
ACGAUUAAUGCAAGUGAAUAUUUUUGGUUAAUAUAGUUAUAAUUUUUUUUUKGAGUUUUAGUAAUUAAUUAUUGGGUGAAAUUUUAUUUUUUUUUUKGCUCUGAUUUUARAAUCUAUGAAACUUAUAARAUAAACUAGGAUUARAUACCCUAUUAUUUUAAGUGUAAAUUUGUUUUUACUAGGGUAGUAUAAGUUAAGAUCUUUAAACCCAAAGAAUUUGGCGGUAUUUUAUUCCAUUCAGAGGAACCUAUCUCGUAAUUGAUAGUACACGAUUUACUUUACUUAAUUUAUUUGUUUGUAUAUCUCCGUUAUCAGAAGAUCUUAUUGGAGGAAAAAUUUUCUUGUUUUUUUAUUAAAUUUUAUUUCAGGUCAAGGUGCAGCUUAUAAUUAAGAGUUUGAUGGGUUACAAUAAAUUUUUUUUAUUAUGAAUUUAAUUUUGUAAUAUUUUAAUGAAGGUGGAUUUGAUAGUAAUUUAAAUUAUUUAAUUUAAUUGAUAUUGGCUCUAAGGUG